rnacentral:lncRNA from 1 species
CAGGUCCUUUCAACCCCUAAGCCAUGAUCUGAAGGAUUCCACAGAUUGUUGCUUAGCCUUUAUUCCCCUCAAACAAACUGUAAACACGAAGUCAUCUGCAGACAUUGAUGGAAAUCUGUACCGUAAUCCUUGCAUCUAAAUCAGAAUAUGAGCUCUUUGAUGGUAGGAGCCACUAUGUCUUUGUACUCUCAACCUUAUAUAGUUCCUGGAACAUGAUAUCACUGGGAUUGAAUACAUGGAACUGAAUCCAACUGAAUUGAAAGCCCUGGUGCCUAGCACAAUGCCUGGCAUACAAUAGGCACCUGAUAAGUACUUUUAAUAAACGUUCAGAACUAAACUCA